GGGGCCGUUGGGGGCUGGCGGGGGCCAUUGGAGAUUGGUGGGAGCCGUUGGGGGCUGGCUGGGGCCGUUGGAGCUGCAGACAGCUGCCGGGAGCGCUGAGGGAGGCCAAGCCUGCACCCAGGGUGGGUCGACUGAAACAAAGGGGACCAGAAGGUGGGCGCCCAGGAGCAGGUGCCGUGGGGACACCGGCCCACCAGCGCCCUGGAUCCUGAGGGGCGAGGAAUCCAGCCCGGAGCCCGCAGCCGCGCGAGGCCGAGGCCCGGGCUGAUGAGCGAGAGCCGGGGCGCCCCAGGGUCCCCUCCUGCCUCGGGCCGCCCGCGCGGCAAGGAGUGUGUCUGGGUGCAGGAGGAGGCCGAGCCCGCUGGACUGUCCUCGGGAGAGUCCGGCCCACAGGGGGCUCGGCUCGCCCCCAAGUCCGGGGCCGCGUCUGCUCAGAGGCCGGAGGCGCCCGCCGCCUCGCCGCGGCAGCCGCGGGACAAGCGCGGGCUCCUGGACUGGACACAGUUUCCCGCCUCCCUGUGGCUGUUUCCCGACCUGUUGGAGCACAGGCUCCAGUUUUAGAGGCUGUGGAGGACUGGGGCAGGGCACGGCUCCGACUUCAGGGUCUGACAGCUGUGCUUUCUCCAAACACUCAUCCAGGGAGCUGGGGGCCAGGUGGCCUUUGUCGGUUCUCCUCUUUCCUCCUGAAGUCAGGGCCUGGACCGGCUGCCCUGCUCAACCUCAGGAACCUCCUUUUUACUUUUAUUUUAUGAUUAGUUGCCUUUGGUCUCCUCAUUCCUCCAUGGGGUGCACUGAGGCCCCUGCAUUUGCUCACGCCUUCCUGUAUCCAUACUCUUGGGGAACCCUCCCACCCUGAGCCUGGGCUUGGACUGGUGACUUCUUUUGGCCGAUGGGACAUAGGAAAGGCGAUGCAAAAGGAAACUCGAAAAUUUCUUGCUGCUCCUGGAAACCUGCCUCCAUAUAAGCAAACCCUGGCUAUUCUGACAGACGACAUGGCCCAGCACCCCCAAAGACUGAGCUGAGAUCCCAGCUGAGAGAGAGGCCAUCUGGGAUCCUCCAGCCCAUCUCCCAGCGCACCUGCCACUUGGCCCCAGACAAGAAAAAAAAAAGUGGCAUAGAUAUCCCUGCCCUUGGAUGCCUUUUGACUUGUCUUCUCUCCAAAUCACAGAAGCCUGACAGGAAUCACUCACAUCUGGUCCACAUGGCAUCAGCUGAGAUGGCUCCAAUCAAGACUGGACAAUCCACUUUCAAUACAGAUCACCCACAUGGCUGGCAGGUUACUGCUGGCUGCUGGCUGGCUGCUCAGCUGGUCUGGGGCCUGGGCGUGAGGGGCCUUGCUUCCUCUCCGGUGGGCUUCUCCUCAGCUGCUUGGGUUUCCUCACUGGAGGAUGGCUGAGGUCCCAGAGCAAAUGUCCCAAGAGAUCCAGACAAAAGGGGGUGGUGCUUUUAUGCUCUAUCCUUGGAAUCACAUAGCAUACAAUUCCAUUGCACCUUGUUAGUUGAGGGGGUCACAAAGUUCCACCCAGGUUAAAAGGAAGGGGACAUAGAUUGCACCCAUGGGGUAGUGGCACGGUCAUGUUGUAAGAUGAGCAUGUGGGAUGAGAGAGGUUCUUAUAUUCUAAAGUCAGUAUUUACCUCUUUCAUUAACAAAGACCUUGAAACACAUUGUCUUCCACAUGUCCCCUAUGCUCUUUGUAUAUAUUUAGUUGAAUGCUUUUAUUUUGCUUGGUUUUACCCCAUAAAUUAGACAUUUUGAUUUCUAUAAUGUUUGAACCAACGAAUACAUCUCUAAAGAAUAUAGCUUACUUUUGCUUGUUUUUGAACUUUUUACAAAUGGAAUCACAUGUUAGGAAUGAUUUUUGUUCACGCCUCUUUUGCUCAAAGUGUAAGUGUCUAAGACUUAUGCAUGUCACUGCAUGUAGCUGUGCCUUGUUCGUUUUCAUUGUUGCCUGGCUCUCUGUGCUAUAACAGAUGACAGUUUACCAGCUGCGCUGUAGAUGGACUCUGGGCCAUUUCCAGGUUUGUUGAUUAGAAUUCACAUAUCCUAGUGCAAAUGUGCAUGAGUUUCUUUGAUGUGUACCCCCAAGAGGGAUAUUGCAGAUGCUUCUAUUACUACAUAAUACCAAACUGUACCAAUUUCUACUCCCACUGGCUAGUAUGAGAAUUCCUGUUCCAAAGCCCUGUUGCUAUAAUCUGAUUUUGCCAGAUUUUUUUCUUGUUUAUGGUAAGUUUGUAAUGGAAAACACUACCUUUAAUCUUACCUUAAUCUCUGCUGACUGCAUGCUAUCUUCCCAAAGAACCAGUGUUAUCUCCUCCUGAUGCAUAGCUCAUAGCUGCCUGACUUGGUUGUACAGAAGUGUUCUGCUGAGGAUAUGGCAGAGCAGAGAGAGAACAUGCCUGUAUUAGCAAAACUCUGCAUCCUUCCAUUUCUGCUUGCAGGCUGGCUAGAUUUAGCUAGAGUUCCUGUCUCUUAUAGGACUUAGAGCAGUCAAAAAAAAAUUGUCUACAUAAGCCAUCAUUCUGGAUCUUUCCUACCAUUUCCUUAAUGCCACAGAUUUUGUCAAAUUGUGGUCUACCCUCCAAAGUAAUGCAAGCCUCGAAACCUAACCGAAGAUUUUACCACCAUGUAAUGUGAGGCGCCAGCUUUUCAACCUGGGCCCAGCUGAAAUUCAGGGGAUCUAUUACUAUGGAAAAAGGGAAGAUGGACAUCGGUGGACCACUAACAAUCUUGGCCACAGCUUCCUUCUGGCAUCACUUUUUUUGUCCUUGUUAACUUGUUUUCUGGAAAAGUCUUUAUAUUGUCCUAAUUCUUGGAUAGCAGAGCUGGGUUGACUAUUCUUUUUUCUCAUUCUACUGUCUUCUAGCUGUCACUGUUAAUGGGGAACAGUUGGGUGUCCUUCUUUUUCUCCUAGCUCCUUUCAAGAACACUUUUGUAUUUGGCAUUUCCAUGAUUCCUCAACAAUGUAACCAAGAAGUAAGUUAUUAUAAAUUGGUCCUACUUGGUACACAUUGGGAUUCCUGAAUUUGUAGAUUGAUGAGAAUUUCAGAAAAUUCUCAGCCUUUUCUCUUUCAUGCUGACUUUCCCCAUUUUCUCUCUUCUCUCUCUUUGGAACUCCAACUGGAUGUUUGACUUUCUCAUUUUACCCUCUGUAUAUCUUAAUUUCUCUUUCCUCUUGUUUAUUCCUCUGUCUCUAUUCUCCUUGUAAUUUCUUCAUAUAUUUUUCUAGUUCACCAAACUCCUCUCCAAUACUAUCUUAUUGUUUAAUCUUCCCAUUGUAUUUUAAAUUGUGAUAUUUUUCAUUUCUAAAUUGCGAAAAGUAUUAAUAAUUAGACAUUGUGUUUUAAAAAACAAUUUAAUUAACAGAAUUAUAUCUAUGUGAAAUGAUAUACACUAAUAUAAUAAGAAUCCUCUAUAAGGGAUUUUAAAACAAACAUCAAAUCCACCCAUUCAUUCCUUCAGGCUUGAAAGCCUGUGAGGGCCCUGUGCAGUCCUGUGUACGGCCAUAAUGGUCUGGAAGAGUAUCUUCCCAUGAGGAAGGUGGUAACUUUCUCUUGCAAAUCAUAAAUGGAAGACACCCUUGGGUUGGGAUAGGGUAUCGGAUAGAAGGAAAUGCAGAGGUUAGUGGCUAUGGAGGUGGUGGUGGGCUUUCCAGUGGGGACAUGAUGAUGGACACUUCUCGCAACAUUGGGUGCUCUUUACACCAGUGCGAACUGAGGGGGGGCACUCCUUGGACCAUUGUCUUUCAGUGAGGGGACAGCAGGGGACAGAACUGGGUUAGAUGUCUGUGCAGUUAGAGCUUUUACUCUUGUUCCUCAUUUCCAGAAAUAUCUAAAGGAGAAAAGAGGAAAAACUUAGGUGUGUUUUCCAUGGAUUGAGUGGUAGAGGUCUACACCUUUCACACAGCAUGGGCUCCAAGAGACUCCGUGGCUUCUGGUAAAGGCUUCCAGGUCCCCAUGAGGGUAGAACCUCUCUUUGCUCCACUUGAUGAGGCUGGGCUGAGACUCCUCCUUUCAGAGGCAUUUCUUUGCUCUCUUUUGAUUCUCUCCAAUGAUUCUCUCCAUCUGUCUCUCUUUUCUAUAGCCUAAUGCCUGUGAUUCUUGCUUUAGACCUUUUUUGGGUUCCCAUAAUCCUUACUUCUGUUCCUAUAGAAAAUGGUUUACUUGUUAACUUCUUAGUUACCUGGCUUCCCAUUCAAAAUGUAACUACCCUAAGGUUACAAGCUUGGUCUUCAUUCACUGCUGUAUCCCCAGUGCUUAGAAUAAUGUAUGGUCCAGAGUAAGUGCUUUAUAAAUAUUUUCUGACUGUUGAAUUCUUAUUUUACUUGAGAUACUUUGCAAAGGUAGAAUUGGGUAAUUUUUGGAUCAUUCCUAAGUAAAUCCCACUGAAAUGAGCAUGUGCAGAAGUGCAGCAGGUUCUGCUCUACUAAAUGAGUACAAUGUUUGGCAAGGAUGUUCGGAGCAGGCUUUUCAUGGAUGGAAUUCAGUAAUCUCAUCUCUGCCUUGCACAAAAGGUCUGGACUGCUCGGGAAGGGUCAGAAACCCCAUGGCAAUAGUGACAUUUACCAGUGGAUAUCUGUGUUAUCUAGAAUAUGGGUUGAGCUGUUCCAACAGGAUUCCUAAGAGUAGUUUCUUAAAAGGGUACAAUUUAAAAUAUCUUGAGUAUCUAGGCAUAAACUUACUAAAAGAUUAUGAUCUUUAUAAAAGAUUGCAACAUUUUAUUGAGGGAGGGACAUAAACAUGAGAAACUGACAAGAUAUAUAGAUCGUUCAUGGAUUGAAAACUUAAUAUUGUAAAUCAGUCAAUAUUGCUUUAAAUUAUAGAAACAAUGCAAUCCCAACUGGCUUUAUGCUGGAUCUGUACUAGCUGGUUAAAAAAUGUAUAUGACAACUCAGAAGGAUCAAUAAUAGCCAAGACUCUCUUGGAGAAAAGAAGGAAGGCAAGAGGAUUGCCCUUACCUGUUGCCGCAGUAGAUUAUUGAAUUCUAGUAAAGAGGAAGGACAGUGUGGCAUUGGCCCAGGGACAGAGUCAUAGAGUGGGGGAGAAUAGAGGCCAGAAUAAGACCCUGCAUGGAUGGACCCUGGGUUUUUGAGAGGCAACAGUUCUGUGCAGUGAAGAAAGGACAGUGUUUUCAAUAGAAAAUGCUAAGGUUUAUGGCUGUGUUUUCACAGGAUUUUAUAUAUGAUAGUGAAACCAUCUGAUGUUAUCUGGUGAAGUCAGUGGGGAAAUUCCUGUGCAUCACGAUCUCACAAAAAUGUUCAAAGUAGCUCUGUUGAUAACGGCCAGAAUGUGGAAACAACUCAAAUGGCCACUGCAGUACCCUGAUGUCACGGCCGACUCUACAGGAGCAUGGCGACCAAGGAUGAAAAGCACAAAAACAACACUGAAGGAAAGAAGCAAGUCACACAGGAAGAUAUGCUAUGAUCCACUUAUAGGAAGCUCAAAAACAAACAGGAAAACCAAACAAUUCUUGAUUGAAAAGGGCAUAAUUAGGUAAAACGAUCAAGUCACCCAAGGGCUGGCGGGAACAGGAGCUCUGUGACUUCAGGGAGGAAGGCACAAGGAGGGGCACGUGGAGAUGUUCUCAGGUCCUGGCCCCUAUUUCAUAACCCACAUAAUGGUUACACACUCUUAUUCCAGAAUAUACAGAUAUGUCUUUUAUAAUAAUCUGCAUGCAUGAUACAUUUUACAAUUAAAAAUUAUUUUUAAAUUAUAUACUUACAGAAGGACAAUGUGAUAGAUAGAAUGAGCGUUUGCUACAUGCCCAGACUCAGACUAGUUACUGUGCACAAUCUCUGAAUCACAACCCCAUGAUUAUCCCCAUUUGAUGGUGAGGUCACUCAGGCCCGGAAUCAUCAUUUCUUGCCCAGAACCACACACUAGGACUCGGCUCAGCAGAGCUUUCAUCAUUCCAGGCAUGUCCUGAUUCCAAAGCCCACACUCCUAUCUGCCUCACUACGCAGCACAUGAUGUUGAUAGUAAUACAAUGGCCAGGGUCCCCUCACGGAUACUUGGGUAUGUGAGGGCGUCCUUGGUGCUGAAUCAUGGCCCAGACCAGACCCAGUCUCACCCACCCACUCCCCAGGAGACCACAACCCAAGCUGACCUCAGGAAGUGCAGCACAUUCUCUAAACACUGAGUGAGCCUGCGGCUUUGAAGUAGGGGAUGAGAUAACACCCAGGUGAGGUUUAAAGCAGGUGACACAGCUCCCCGUGUAGCGAGCUAUGUGCCCAUGAGCAACGUGCAAGAGUGUGUACCUUGAGUCUCAUUGGGAGCCUCAGGCAUGCCAAAUGGGAUUUACCUGUCUAGCUCUUUCUUAAAUGCUUAAGUCUCUAAGAUUUAUUCUUAACCACUUUCUCUGUUCACUUAGAAAAGUACUUACUGUUGUCUACCAGGUACUGUGUUAGGCUGAAUUCACUGGGGAUACUGAUUUGUCCUUGUAUUUAGGAUGUAUUAGGAAAAUGCGUGCUUGUUGUCCAGAGUCCUGCGGAAGAAGCCCCUGAGGUACUUAAGAAACAGAAGAAACGGAGUACUCUACAAAGUUCUGUAUGGGAUUUUCUCUAAGCUUAGGAGACAAAGCCCCAAGAAGUGCAUCAGGAGUUCAGAGCUGUGAUAGGAACAUGUAAAAUCUUAAGCUAGAGGGUAGAUCUCAGGUUAAGUGUUCUUUCCACAAUAAAGAAAAACAAAACCUUAAGCCUUGUAUUAUUUACAGCAAGCCGUUUCUGAGAUCAGGCAGGACACGGGAACUGAACAAGUUACUAUUUCCAGUAAAACUGCCCCGGUGUGGACAGAGAGGUGCUGGGGAAAAGAAGGGAGGAGGCUCACUCAGGCAAAUUCAGUGCAGCGCCAGGGAGGGAGAGACAGCGGGCUACUCUCUCCCGUUAGCAGUGGCCUCAUGCCAGGGAACAGCCCACAGCAGUGCUGGGGAAGACUCAAGGCUGCUGACACCGAAAGGGGUAAGUCUCCAGUGGCAGCUUGCUGGGUGAACACAGCUAGAGGUGGGGAUUAAUUUAUCACUCAGAUUCAGCAGUGCUUAUGGACCCCACAUCAGGUAGGCACCACAGGGCCCAUGAGAAAACUAGGUUUGGAUGAGCUAGGGUAAGAUGCCUAUUCUGGUUCAUGCUAGCUCAGAACACCAGCUGCAGCCAUGGGGCAGCUACUGGGGACCAGAGUAGGGUGACCUCAGGUCUGGGCCAUUUUGUGGUCCUAGGUUGGGGCAGAAUUUCAGCAGCUGUUGACACGAGGAACAAGAUCUAAUUCUCAGGGAGGGUGUGAAGAAGGUAUGAGGCAAGUUAAACCCCAGGUGAGCAGAGAGUGGAUCUGCAAGAAAUUCCAUCUAGGAUACUCCUGGCUUCCACUAUGGUAAGCAUAAACCAACCCUGCCAGAGGACAUGUCUCUUUAACUCCUAAAGUUAGGAACUUAGAUUCUAGAAAGAAAAAAAAUUGUGAAACUAUUGUGGUAACACAAGGCAGCAGGUGCCAAAACAAGGGGCAAGAGGAACGUAGGUCUCUAGGUUGGAAACACUGGGCGCUAGAACACCGGACUUGGGGACAGGGAGCAGAUUUGAGGUGUGGGAACAAGGUGGGUUGGGCAGUCCUGGAGGGGUCAGCAGUUGCCAGAUGAAGUCAAUCUGACAGGAUAUACGUUCUACAACAUGGGUGGAAAUACCAGUUUUCCUGUUCUGCCUCCUCCACCCUAGAAUUUGCUAACAAAUGAGCUUUACCCCUCAGUCCCUACACUCCAGCCCACAACCUCCAAUGCCACCCAGGCUCCCUCUCCCUGCUCACAGCCAUCCUGACUCCAGGUGUCACCACUUGCGGCACGGGGUAACGCCGUGGGUUGGUCUCCUGCACACUGGAUUCACAGGGGGUGGUAGACUCGCCCAAACUUGCUCCUGCAGAGCCAGUGGCAGACUUAACUGUGAGCUUGAGCUGUGGGGUCCCCUCACUGCCUCAACAGCAGGGGGAAAUGUGGUCACAUAUUUUCUCAGUUCCCCAAGGGGACAAUGCAUGAACCAAUGUAAAUCACUCAGGAUCCUCAAAACCUGGAUCCACCCUGUUUAAUUUCUCCAUUCUCUUAUUCAUCUAAGAAUGUUUUCCAAAAAGCAUUACUGUGCAUUACAUUAAAAAAAGCAUUAGGUUACUGUGCAAUCAGUUAAGGAGGGAGCCAUUAGCAUUUUCAAUAGAACUGAAA
rnacentral:lncRNA from 1 species